rnacentral:rRNA from 1 species
UACGAAGGGGGCUAGCGUUGUUCGGAAUCACUGGGCGUAAAGCGCACGUAGGCGGAUCUUUAAGUCAGGGGUGAAAUCCCGAGGCUCAACCUCGGAACUGCCUUUGAUACUGGGGAUCUCGAGUCCGGGAGAGGUGAGUGGAACUGCGAGUGUAGAGGUGAAAUUCGUAGAUAUUCGCAAGAACACCAGUGGCGAAGGCGGCUCACUGGCCCGGUACUGACGCUGAGGCACGAAAGCUAGGGGAGCAAACAGG